GUUGUAGAGUUUGACCUUCUCUGUGCGAUUUAAAGUUCUAGACGGAAACGCACGUAAAAUAGCCUUUUUUCUCAACCUAUCCAAAAGGACUCUUUUGUAUCCAUUGUUUUCGCGGAUUUGUAUGCGGUACAAAGUAGCAGCCAAACGUCGUAGUAAUGAAGCAUUAUUCGAUUGUAAAAGAUUAUUGGUAUGUUGUAUUAAAGAUUUAAAGUCAUUAAGACGAUAAUAACACCAACAAAUUAAAAUCUGAGAACGAAAUGAAAAGUGACUAUCAUCAACAUCCGAUACCUUAAAUGAGUAUAAUAGAGCGCUUUGGAACAACCGCCUAGAAAACAGCCAUUCUGCGAGAGCUAGAGUAAAAGAUUUUGAAUAUGCUGAAGGAUUGCGUUGAAAUGAGACAAGCAAUUGCUCAAUUUUUUCAGAUG